CAGAAACGCAACAAGGGAACGUGGCACCGUCCCUUCGAAGGUCCCUAAUAAGUUUGCAUCAAUUUAAAGUAUCCUGUCUGCGAGUGAAUUUAUCUUUCGGAGGCCUCAAGUAUACGCAGCUGUCAGGACUGAACUUGAACUUACUCAACAUGGGACCAUGCUGACAGAUCAAGCCAGCCGCAGUGCCACUUGCCAUGUGCUCCCUCCUGCUCCAAAGGUCUGUGAGGAUCAACCACCGCUUUACUACGAUUAUCUGCUGCAUGUGAGCGAUACGUGCUGACUGGACAACAGAUACAGACUGAAAUCGUCCCAAGUAAGCAUCUUUCAGUUAUCAGUAAUACAGGAGACAACACUGAGGGCCUCAGAAAAUGGAAAUCAUACACAUUGGUUUGUACAAAAACUCUCAGGUCUGUAAAACCCGUCUCAACUUCCAAACGCCCAAGGUGAUGCCAUUAAACUGCAUGUUGUGCCCCAAAUCAACAGUCUAGAUCCCCCAAAUAUUAAUUUCAUUUUCCUCACCAUAGCUGAAAGAACAAGCUGAUCAGUUGGUUAGAUUUUAGACAAUCAGACUAUUUUGAUCAUUGAUUAUUCCCUUUUUGUUGUCUUUGUUGUCGUAUAUUAUUAUAUACUUAAGAUCUUUCACUUUUGGAUACAGCAAGACCUUGGAAGACCUUUCUUGAAAGAGAGAAUUGCAACAUUAUACACCUUUUUCUGACGUAAAUUGUACAAAUGUUACUCAAUUAAUAAUAAAGGAAAUAAUCUUAAUUGAUCGAUAAUAAAAGUAAUUGUUUGUUGCAGCCCUGAUCCUCACAUUUGACAAACUGGAACCAUCAAAUGUUUAGCAUUGUUGCUAGAAGUUAGCAAUUUCUCUCUCUAUCUACGGAUCAAUAACCAAUAAAGCCAAAGUACUGUAACAUCUCUCCACAUGAAUCACAUCUCUCUGUGUGUGUUAGCAGCAGAGUGAAAAAAAAUAUUUCCCAAAGGGACCAAAUAAAGUUAUUAAGACCAAAAAUAUCAGAUGAAAUUUUAAUUUAAUAUCAUUGUACGGUGUUAGAUCUGGUAUUCUAUUCUCUAAGGUAGCAUUAACGUUUUAACUUUAUAGGAUGGUUGUGAUGUAUCACAUAAAAAAAGGAAAUAAUCAUCAGUUUCAGCCCUAAGUGAUAUAAAACAGAGCACCUAAUCUUUGCAUUUUUUGGAGCUGAAACCACAAAAAGCGCGAGGAGUGCUCUAAUGGUUAUAAAACGGUAGUGCUGUCAGUCCCACAGCACUGCUCAGCACUCUUUGUCUUACAGUCACAACUAAUAGGAUACACAGUAUGGAUGCCAACAUACUCUUUGAGAAAUUAGCUUCGUCAGUGAGCUCAGGUCAGUGAUAAAAGCUCGUCAUGAUCACCACAUCAACUGAAGUUGAAUGUAUACCAUCAAUAAUGCAGAUCACAUGGAGGCUGGCUGCCAGUGAGCCAUCCAUACAGAACAAUAACAGCUAAUCAGCUGAUUGGUAUUAAAUAUUUACAUGUCCGAAGCCUGAA